AAAAAGGUUCUAGGAAUUCGGGGAACAAUGGAAUUGGCAAUGGUCCCAAUCAAGAGAAUGGAAGCGGUAGAAAAUCCGGUUGGAGGCACUCGGAUCGACAUGCAGCAGAACAUGGUGGAGAAAGAAGACACAGGAAUCGCGGAAGGAAACACUCAAAACAUGACCAUGUGACCACUCCGGAACCAGUUUUAACCGAGAAAGACAUGGUUCAAUUUCUUUGUAAUCAGUGUAAGCAGAAAGAACCAAAUAAUGCAAACUGCCAAAAUUUAUGCAAAGGUAUUUGCGUUUUUUAAUUAAUAAUACUUAAUUGCAAACGUUAUACAAUGACCCCUUGUAUGUAAGAGGGCUUUUAUUUUAUUUUUUUUCAUUAUUUUAGUCUUUCUCUUUUUGUUAUAUUUUUAAAAUACUUACUUCAGUUUUCUUUCCAUAGCUUCAACCACCACCGAUGUUAAUAAAACAAUUGCCGGGCAAUUAGGAAACCCGUUUUGUAGCUUUUGUGAAUACUAUCGAAGCUACCCAACUUAUUAUCAAAUGUGCAGAAAUCGGAUGUGUGCAGCAGGAAAGAAAUAAAAAAAAAUCAUUUUUAUACUACAAAAGUUUAUCAUUUUUAUUGAUGCUUGCAUUUUGGAAAUCCCUUUUUGUAAUUUUUUGAUAUUUGUGAUUAAAACGUUGUUUGAACGAAUGUCAACACUACAAAUUACUGUUUCGUUUGAUAAUAAAACGAAUUAACAUUUUAAUCGUCCCUUUAAGCUUAAUAAAACUGACAGAAGCAUU
rnacentral:misc_RNA from 1 species